rfam:Picea glauca, whole genome shotgun sequence.
AGGGUUCUAGCUCAAUGGAAGAGAGCUUGCCUUACAAUAAGGAGGUUGGUGGUUCGAUUCCUCCGUGCCCUA